rnacentral:rRNA from 1 species
ACUGCUCAAAUUUGAAAGCUGCCAACAGGCCGCAUUGUAAUUUGUAGAAGAUGCUUUGGGUGUCGGCCCAGUCUAAGUUCCUUGGAACAGGACGUCAUAGAGGGUGAGAAUCCCGUAUGUGAUUGGUGCCGUCCCCCGUGUAAAGCUCUUUCGACGAGUCGAGUUGUUUGGGAAUGCAGCUCAAAAUGGGUGGUAAAUUUCAUCUAAAGCUAAAUAUUGGCCAGAGACCGAUA